rnacentral:rRNA from 1 species
AGUGAACGCUGGCGGUAGGCCUAACACAUGCAAGUCGAACGGCGGCACAGUAAGAGCUUGCUCUUACGGGUGGCGAGUGGCGGACGGGUGAGGAAUACAUCGGAAUCUACUUUUUCGUGGGGGAUAACGUAGGGAAACUUACGCUAAUACCGCAUACGACCUACGGGUGAAAGCAGGGGAUCUUCGGACCUUGCGCGAUUGAAUGAGCCGAUGUCGGAUUAGCUAGUUGGCGGGGUAAAGGCCCACCAAGGCGACGAUCCGUAGCUGGUCUGAGAGGAUGAUCAGCCACACUGGAACUGAGACACGGUCCAGACUCCUACGGGAGGCAGCAGUGGGGAAUAUUGGACAAUGGGCGCAAGCCUGAUCCAGCCAUACCGCGUGGGUGAAGAAGGACUUCGGGUUGUAAAGCCCUUUUGUUGGGAAAGAAAAGCAGCAGGUUAAUACCCCGCUGUUCUGACGGUACCCAAAGAAUAAGCACCGGCUAACUUCGUG